AUGAGUCGGGAUUGGGCUAUUACGAGGAAGAACCGGAUCUGGGGGAGACGAAGAAUGAUAGAUCUCGGAACAGAACAUGGGAAUAUAUCUGCACUCAAUUUUCUUCAUCUGUUUCUACUCCUGGGCUUGUUAUUAUUUUUUAAUAAAAAUAAAGUGUUAUUUUCCUGUUACCCCAGUACACACAUUAUGUUUCAUGAAGUAUCUAAUAUGUUUUGGGAGAUUAUUCAGCCAAAUUCUUUCAGUGUGAAGUUACUACCUGGGAAUAAAUUAGGAAUGUUUUGGAGGUGUAUUGGGCAUUUCAAGCCAAUAAUUUAAUUUAACAAAAUAGUACAACCAUCAUGAUGAUUAAAAAUACAACUUAUGAAGAAAAGCUAAUGGGACUGAAAUGGUUGUUUCCAGUUGACAGGGAAAUUUAAUCAUGGUAAAUAUAAUCCUGAACUUGGGUUAAAAAUUCAGGGUUAUUAAAUUUGAAAGGACUCAAGUCUUCAAGUAUAUGAGAGUACUAUUUGUUCUUUUGACUUUCAUUUCCUUCUUUCUUUCUUUCUCUUUCUUUUCUUUCUUCCUUUCUUCAUCCUUCUUCCUUAUUCAUGUAUGUGUUUUAGCUUCUUUAGCUUUUGAGAGUGACAAUUCCUAAAGUCAAUGACUAUUUCUUAUCUAUCACUACAUCCCCCAUUAUAUCUGAACAUGAUGUAAGCUCAAACAAAUAUUCAUUGAACUAGUGAAUGUAUAAAUAACAGAGUGGAACCAGAGGAAUUGAGCGGAUGGAAAGGAAAAUAAUUAGCAUUUAUAUAGCACCUAGUUAGACUAGCUAAGCACUUAGUGUUUUUUCUUUCCUUUUUCCCCCCAAAUUGUCUCUCUCUCUCUCUUCCUCUCCCUUUCCUGAAGGUGAUAAGCAAUUCAAUCUCAGUUAUACAUGUAUUAUCAUAUAAAACAUAUUUCCAGAUUUUUCAUUUCUGUAAAAGAAUAAUCAUAUAAAACUAAAACCCCUCAAUAAAAUGAAGUGAAAAAUCA
rnacentral:lncRNA from 1 species